rnacentral:rRNA from 1 species
UACGUAGGUGGCAAGCGUUGUCCGGAUUUAUUGGGUUUAAAGGGUGCGUAGGCGGCCCUGUAAGUCAGUGGUGAAAUACUCCAGCUCAACUGGAGAGGUGCCAUUGAUACUGCAGGGCUUGAGUGUGGUCGAGGCGGAUGGAAUUGACGGUGUAGCGGUGAAAUGCUUAGAUAUCGUCAAGAACACCGAUAGCGAAGGCAGUUCGCUAGGCCACAACUGACGCUGAGGCACGAAAGUGCGGGGAUCAAACAGG